GUUGUCUUGGACUCACUCCAACCCAUGUGAACCAUACCAAACUGUUGCCUCGGCGGGGUCACGCCCCGGGUGCGUCGCAGCCCCGGAACCAGGCGCCCGCCGGAGGGACCAACCAAACUCUUUCUGUAGUCCCCUCGCGGACGUUAUUUCUUACAGCUCUGAGCAAAAAUUCAAAAUGAAUCAAAACUUUCAACAACGGAUCUCUUGGUUCUGGCAUCGAUGAAGAACGCAGCGAAAUGCGAUAAGUAAUGUGAAUUGCAGAAUUCAGUGAAUCAUCGAAUCUUUGAACGCACAUUGCGCCCGCCAGUAUUCUGGCGGGCAUGCCUGUCCGAGCGUCAUUUCAACCCUCGAACCCCUCCGGGGGGUCGGCGUUGGGGAUCGGGAACCCCUAAGACGGGAUCCCGGCCCCGAAAUACAGUGGCGGUCUCGCCGCAGCCUCUCCUGCGCAGUAGUUUGCACAACUCGCACCGGGAGCGCGGCGCGUCCACGUCCGUAAAACACCCAACUUCUGAAAUGUUGACCUCGGAUCAGGUAGGAAUACCCGCUGAACUUAAGCAUAUCUAAGGGGGGAAGAAAAAUU
rnacentral:rRNA from 1 species